UGAGGAAUAUUGGGCAAUGCCCGCAAGGGUGACCCAGCAACGCCGCGUGGAGGAUGAAUGUCGUAGGGUUGUAAAGCUCUUUCACCGGUGAAGAUAAUGACGGUAACCGGAGAAGAAGCCCCGGCUAACUUCGUGCCAGCAGCCGCGGUAAUACGAAGGGGGCUAGCGUUGUUCGGAUUUACUGGGCGUAAAGCGCACGUAGGCGGACUUUUAAGUCAGGGGUGAAAUCCCGGGGCUCAACCCCGGAACUGCCUUUGAUACUGGAAGUCUUGAGUAUGGUAGAGGUUAGUGGAAUUCCAAGUGUAGAGGUGAAAUUCGUAGAUAUUCGGAGGAACACCAGUGGCGAAGGCGGCUCACUGGACCAUUACUGACGCUGAGGUGCGAAAGCGUGGGGAGCAAACA
rnacentral:rRNA from 1 species